rnacentral:rRNA from 1 species
CUAAGAAUAUUCCGCAAUGGACGGAAGUCUGACGGAGCGACGCCGCGUGGAUGAAGAAGGCCGAAAGGUUGUAAAGUUCUUUUGCUAGGGGAGAAUAAGUGUGGGAGGGAAUGCCUGCACGAUGACAAGGACUAGCGAAUAAGUCCCGGCCAACUACGUGCCAGCAGCCGCGGUAACACGUAGGGGGCGAGCGUUGUUCGGAAUUACUGGGCGUAAAGGGCAUGUAGGCGGCUUGGUAAGCCUGGCGUGAAAGUCUGCAGCUUAACUGUAGGGAUGCGUUGGGAACUGCUUAGCUUGAGUUACGGAGAGGGAGCUGGAAUUCCUGGUGUAGGGGUGAAAUCUGUAGAUAUCAGGAAGAACACCGAUGGCGAAGGCAAGCUUCUGGCCGACAACUGACGCUGAGGUGCGAAAGUGUGGGGAUCAAACA